rnacentral:rRNA from 1 species
UACGGAGGAUGCAAGCGUUAUCCGGAAUGAUUGGGCGUAAAGCGUCCGCAGGUGGCUAUGUAAGUCUGCUGUUAAAGAGUGAGGCUCAACCUCAUAAGAGCAGUGGAAACUACAUGGCUAGGGUGCGUUCGGGGCAGAGGGAAUUCCUGGUGUAGCGGUGAAAUGCGUAGAGAUCAGGAAGAACACCGGUGGCGAAAGCGCUCUGCUAGGCCGCAACUGACACUCAUGGACGAAAGCUAGGGGAGCGAAUGGG